CUUCACUCUGACUGGCAAGUCCAUCUGCCCUGAUGUUGGGGUGUUUUCUCAUCGACUUCUUCAGGAUCCCAACAAAGACCCAAGACCAGCUACUUUCUAAGGCUUUCCCGGAAUUCCAGAUUGGGAUUGUUGAAACAUCCAGUCUCAUGCACCUUGUUGGACUACAUGGACUGCUGCCUGCUCAAUAGACCAAAUCGAAUGGCAUCACCCAGACAAAAGGCUCGUCAUACAAAGAGAAAGGAUUAUUUGACCUUCAGAGAAAUCAGAAGCAACCACCAAACCUCCUGAGCAGGCCAGGUUCUGGGCAUGAAGAUGGAAUGGCUUCUGCUUCUGUCCUUACAGAAGAGUUUAUCCUGAGGCAGUCUGAUGUUAAGCUAUCAGUCACCUUUCUCAUUUCCUGACUCCAGUCCCGGGAAAAUGAUCAGAAUAAUCAGCCUGUUCUUGUAAUCGACAUGUGGCCCUGGCUGUCCUGGAAUAUGCUAUGUAGACUUGGCUGACCUUGAACUCACAGACUACCACUCUGCAGCCUGUGUGGUUGGAUUAAAGUUGUACACCACUGUUCCUGUCCUGA